rnacentral:rRNA from 1 species
UACGUAGGUGGCAAGCGUUAUCCGGAAUUAUUGGGCGUAAAGAGCGCGCAGGCGGUCGUUCAAGUCGAGUGUGAAAGCCCCCGGCUCAACUGGGGAGGGUCACUCGAUACUGAUCGACUCGAAGGCAGAAGAGGGAAGCGGAAUUCCCGGUGUAGUGGUGAAAUGCGUAGAUAUCGGGAGGAACACCAGUGGCGAAGGCGGCUUUCUGGUCUGCUCUUGACGCUGAGGCGCGAAAGCUAGGGUAGCAAACGGG